UGUAUUCAUUCCUGUUGGACUCUUAUUCCUCCUCAAAACCCCGCUCUCCAUAUCCUUCCUGCUGUUCUUUGUCUCAUUGAAAUCCCCUUAUGGAUAUUUUAUGUUAUUCCACGUUUCUCCUGUACAUACCUCUUUUUCUGUCAAGACUGUAAACUCCUCAAGGCCCAACAUUGUACCCAUCUUCCUUUUGUGAAUGACCUGGACUUGCUAAGAAAAAAGAAAAAGGUCUGAAAAGUCCCAUGGAUUGGUUGCCUUACCCGCUCCACUGGUUUUGGCAAAUGCUUCUGGCAAACAUGGUUGAGUGAUAAGACCCAGGUCACCAUGGACCUGAGAUCUGGCCUUGAGCUGCAUCACUUUACUUGUAUGUGCACCCUCCGAUUGCCCAUCUCGACGGGCUGGAUGGUUUUGGUAAUUUCCAGCUGCUUGUGCUGUUUGUUAUUCUUAACUUCUGUGCACAAAGUGCUCCCUGGACCCCAAGCUGAGGUGUCCCUGGUGGGAGCCUUCAGAGGGAGCACCGGCCUGAGCUGGUAACCUGGAUUCUUGCUGCCCACCUGCCAUCUCUGGCCGGGGCUGUAAGUGACCAUGGCUGAGUGCACAAAUUGAUUCUCAGUGUGUCCACUGACUCCUUUAUAGGGUGAUGCAGUGGACCGGAACCGCGCAACUCAGGAGAUUUUUCUGGGGGAGACAAGUCCUACCUCUUGUGUUCUGUGUCCAGAAUGGAAGCGUCCCCCAGCCGUGUGCCAGGGAAGCCUUCCUCAGUGGGAUCGUUCACUGUCUUUUGAGCCACGGGAAAUGUCACUGUGAAGUUGAUCCAGGGAAGCCUGUGCUUGUCCUUGGGUCACAGGACUCUUGAGCGUAGGGAUGGGAAAUAAAACUGUUUGGUGAGUGAUG
rnacentral:lncRNA from 1 species